rnacentral:rRNA from 1 species
AGGGUUUGAUCAUGGCUCAGAAUGAACGUUGGCGGCGUGGAUUAGGCAUGCAAGUCGAGCGAGAAGAUUUAAAAAGAUACUUCGGUUGAUUUUUAAAUUGGACAGCGGCGAAAGGGAGAGUAACAAGUAGAUACGUACCCGAGGGUCCGGGAUAGCUGCGGGAAACUGCAGGUAAUACCGGAUAAUGUUUCCGAACCAAAGAUUUAUUGCCCUCGGAUCGGUCUGCUCACUAUUAGGUAGUUGGUGGGGUAAAGGCCUACCAAGCCAAAGAUGGUUAGCGGGUGUGAGAGCAUGGCCCGUCUCACUGGGACUGAGACACUGCCCAGACACCUACGGGUGGCUGCAGUCGAGAAUCUUCCGCAAUGGACGAAAGUCUGACGGAGCGACGCCGCGUGAUGGACGAAGGCCCUCGGGUUGUAAACAUCUGUCGUAGGGGAGGAAAUUUUGACCGAUCCUAGGAGGAAGCGCAGGCUAAGUUCGUGCCAGCAGCCGCGGUAAUACGAACUGCGCAAACGUUAUUCGGAAUCACUGGGCUUAAAGGGUGCGUAGGCGGAUUGGUAGGUCAGAUGUGAAAGCCCACGGCUCAACCGUGGAAUUGCGUUUGAAACCACUAGUCUUGAGGGGAUCAGAGGAGAGCGGAACUGAUGGUGGAGCGGUGAAAUGCGUUGAUAUCAUCAGGAACACCGGUGGCGAAAGCGGCUCUCUGGGAUCUUUCUGACGCUGAGGCACGAAAGCUAGGGGAGCGAAC